rnacentral:rRNA from 3 species
UGAGGAAUAUUGGUCAAUGGACGCAAGUCUGAACCAGCCAUGCCGCGUGCAGGAUGACGGUCCUAUGGAUUGUAAACUGCUUUUAUACGGGAAGAAACCCUGGCUCGUGAGCCAGACUGACGGUACCGUAAGAAUAAGGAUCGGCUAACUCCGUGCCAGCAGCCGCGGUAAUACGGAGGAUCCAAGCGUUAUCCGGAAUCAUUGGGUUUAAAGGGUCCGUAGGCGGCCCUGUAAGUCAGCGGUGAAAUCUCCCGGCUCAACCGGGAAAUGGCCGUUGAUACUGCAGGGCUUGAAUUAGUAGGAAGUAACUAGAAUAUGUAGUGUAGCGGUGAAAUGCUUAGAGAUUACAUGGAAUACCAAUUGCGAAGGCAGGUUACUACUACUACAUUGACGCUGAGGGACGAAAGCGUGGGUAGCGAACAGG